AACCAUAGAAACCUGCGGAGUACCUGCGGAGGGAUCAUUACAGAGUUGCAAAACUCCCUAAACCAUUGUGAACGUUACCUAAACCGUUGCUUCGGCGGGCGGCCCGGGUCCUUCCCGGCGCCCAUCGGCCCUCGCGGGCGCCCGCCGGAGGUAAACCAAACUAUUGCAUUGUAUGGCCUCUCUGAGUCUUCUGUACUGAGUAAGUCAAAACUUUUAACAAUGGAUCUCAGAUCGGAAGAG
rnacentral:misc_RNA from 1 species